AUGCACCACCAUUCACACUUACUAAAUGCUGGUGCUGUAGUAGUAGCUAGAAGUUUCUGGAUGGAGAAACUUCUGAAAUUUGGAGGAUUUGGCGCGUUCAUGGAGAUGACAGACUGGCCAAACCUAUGGCUAGCAUUGUGCGUGCCAGAUUACAAAGAUAUAAGGGCACACUAUCUUAGUCUAGGCAUGAUAGGGUUAGCACAUAUUGGAUUGCGUUCAGAGAGAAUUAACAAUGCACCAUUUACACUCGGCCAAACAUUUUAUUUCUCAAAGGGCCAUUGGCCGUAUUUUAUUAGAUGGGACAGCCAAACAUUUUAUUAA
rnacentral:rRNA from 1 species